AUGAUAGACACAGUUUUAUAUACUACUAAUAAAGUGGAGAUCGCUUCUGGUCGUCCGUCAUCGGCGUUUUUGCAGAAAAGCCCUUGGCUUUUUAUAAAAUCAACCCGCAAUCCUAUUGUUCAAGUUUACCUGAACCGGUACGGGCAAAAUAGAAAAAAAAGAACGACUGAACGACCCACGACCUUGCCUCCCAUCCAUCCGCCGCGCGCCACCACCGCCGGCCCCCGUCCAUCCGCCGCGCGCCACCACCGCCGGCCCUGCCCUUCCGCGGCGCACCGCCCCCGCCGCCGCGCCCAUCCUCAAGCAAAGGAACCGGACAAAUUCCCUCCAGAGGAGAAGGAAAAGAAACAAAUUUCUCCCGAGGAGAAGUGA
rnacentral:rRNA from 1 species